CUCCCCCUCCCGCCCGCCGCCGGCCCGGCAGCUCUCCCAACGUGGUCCCGCCGAGCUCCUCGGCCCCGAGCGCCGCCACCGCCGCCGAACGACCCGCGCCCCGCCGCCGAUGGAGCGCAACUCGCACCGCACUUCCCCCCGUCCCCUCCCUUCCCUCCCAUGCGGCCGCACGAGGCGCGAGGCGCGGGGGCGGCGCUGACAGGGCCGGGGCGCGCCUCCUCAGCGCAGGGUGCGGUGGGAUCUCGUCGCCCUGGGCAGUUCUUCGGUGCAAACCAGUACUAAAAGCCGCCUGCGAGCUGAAGUUCUUUUGAGAAGCGCAGAAAGCCAAUCGCUACCCGAGGGGGAUAGGAGCUGAGGGCACUCAAAUGGUCACAGCCUGGAUCUCGCUCACAAGGAACCGGUUUAAACACCGCAAAAUCCACGUCCUGCUCUGGUGCAGGGACAGGGCUUCUCUCACUGUUCCUUGCUACGGAGCAGGAGUGGAUGUCCUCUCACAAGGGCCGUGUUCACCCCAGGCCGUGCUGUGCUCCUGCUGCUCUUCUGGAACGCCUCCUAGGUUACUCUGAAGAGCAGAAACCAAACCAGGCAUACUUGGACCUCCUGAGCCUUAUCAAUUGAAGGGAACUGCACAAUCCUCUUGAAUGCUGUGCAAGGGACAGUGGAAGGUCAGAGUGCAAAGAGCAGGGCUUCUCAUGCCUUCCUGCAAGCAAAUUCUUCUCAGUUAUCCCAGCCUUACUGUAUCAUGGAAUGUAUGACCUCCUUUUCAGGCACUACACGCUGUGGCAUUCGUGCCCCACAACUUCAUCCACCUUUCAUCAGGACAAUUAUUGCUUAGGACAACAACCCCAAACCACCAAAAAACAAUCUCACAGUUACAAAUGUGAUGUUAACUUACUUCUGCUCCAGUUGAAAUAUUGCCUGAGAACAAGUUAUAAAAGCAGGAAAGAGCAGAACUUGCAUAAGAACAAAGACGGAUCAAUGUUUUUAUGACAAUAUGAAGCAGUUUGUAAUUUUCUAAGUUGCUCGCCUAUAGGGUGUUUGAAUUAAGUCAGACGAACAUUUUAUUUUAUAUUGUUUUAAGCAGAGAAAUAGAGAACAGGCUGACUAAUGUUUCAAUACCAAUAGCAUACAUCAAGCAUAAUUAUGAAAAACUCAGUGCAGGUGGUAAUUUUUUAGUCAACUGGACCUUUAUUUCUAAUACACCACAGCUCGUGCUGAAUAAACAUUUUCCUGAUACUAAAGAAACGGAAUACCUUGUUCUUCAAUUUGCCAAAAAGGGACAUUUUUCAUUUGAAUCUUCAUGCAUCGACACAGAACCACAAAACAGUAAUGAUCAGAGUUCAACUCCCCAGCUAAAGCAAGGUCCCUGCAGUAGGUUAAUACUUAGAGUAAGUUAAACACUCAAGAAAUUUGAGAAAACCACUUUUGCAGCCCCAUACUCACUUACUCCUGAUAUAGUCACUAGAGCA